rnacentral:rRNA from 1 species
GACGAACGCUGGCGGCGUGCCUAAUACAUGCAAGUAGAACGCUGAAGCUUGGUGCUUGCACCGAGCGGAUGAGUUGCGAACGGGUGAGUAACGCGUAGGUAACCUGCCUGGUAGCGGGGGAUAACUAUUGGAAACGAUAGCUAAUACCGUAUAAGAGUAGAUGUUGCAUGACAUUUGCUUAAAAGGUGCAAUUGCAUCACUACCAGAUGGACCUGCGUUGUAUUAGCUAGUUGGUGAGGUAACGGCUCACCAAGGCAACGAUACAUAGCCGACCUGAGAGGGUGAUCGGCCACACUGGGACUGAGACACGGCCCAGACUCCUACGGGAGGCAGCAGUAGGGAAUCUUCGGCAAUGGACGGAAGUCUGACCGAGCAACGCCGCGUGAGUGAAGAAGGUUUUCGGAUCGUAAAGCUCUGUUGUAAGAGAAGAACGAGUGUGAGAGUGGAAAGUUCACACUGUGACGGUAUCUUACCAGAAAGGGACGGCUAACUACGUG